GAUGAACGCUGGCGGCGUGCCUAAUACAUGCAAGUCGAGCGAACAGACGAGGAGCUUGCUCCUCUGACGUUAGCGGCGGACGGGUGAGUAACAUGUGGAUAACCUAUCUAUAAGACUGGGAUAACUUCGGGAAACCGGAGCUAAUACCGGAUAAUAUAUUGAACCGCAUGGUUCAAUAGUGAAAGACGGUUUUGCUGUCACUUAUAGAUGGAUCCGCGCCGCAUUAGCUAGUUGGUAAGGUAACGGCUUACCAAGGCAACGAUGCGUAGCCGACCUGAGAGGGUGAUCGGCCACACUGGAACUGAGACACGGUCCAGACUCCUACGGGAGGCAGCAGUAGGGAAUCUUCCGCAAUGGGCGAAAGCCUGACGGAGCAACGCCGCGUGAGUGAUGAAGGUCUUCGGAUCGUAAAACUCUGUUAUUAGGGAAGAACAAAUGUGUAAGUAACUAUGCACGUCUUGACGGUACCUAAUCAGAAAGCCACGGCUAACUACGUG
rnacentral:rRNA from 1 species